rnacentral:misc_RNA from 1 species
AACGGUCUAUACCUGCGGUACCUGCGGAAGGAUCAUCAUUGGAUUUAAUAAUUGUGAAAAGAUUUUCAGGUCUUUUUUUAUUAAUGGGCUUGACUUUCUUUUUUGCAAAAAACAAACAAAAAACUUUGACACCCAAAAAGUGAUGAAGUGAAUGAAAUGAUCUUUUCAAGGUUAUUCAUUCAUUCAUUCAUUCAGAAAAAGAAAAUGUGGUUGCCUGAUUAUAUAAAGUGUUUUGGUAUC